GACGAACGCUGGCGGCGUGCCUAACACAUGCAAGUCGAACGGAGUUGCGAACGGGUGAGUGACGCGUAGGUGACUUCCUGGUAGUGGGGGGUAACUAUUGGAAACGAUAGCUAAUACCGCAUACUUCCAGCUGGACCUGCGUUGUAUUAGCUAGUUGGUGGGGUAACGGCCCACCAAGGUCACGAUCCAUAGCCGACCUGAGAGGGUGAUCGGCCACACUGGGACUGAGACACGGCCCAGACUCCUACGGGAGGCAGCAGUAGGGAAUCUUCGGCAAUUGACGGAAGUCUGACCGAGCAACGCCGCGGGAGUGAAGAAGGUUUUCGGAUCGUAAAGCUCUGUUGUAAGAGAAGCGGUAUCUUACCAGAAAGGACCGGCUAAUUCCGUGCCAGCCGCCGCGGUAAUUC
rnacentral:rRNA from 1 species